UACGGGGGGGGCAAGCGUUGUUCGGAAUUACUGGGCGUAAAGGGCUCGUAGGCGGCCAACUAAGUCAGACGUGAAAUCCCUCGGCUUAACCGGGGAACUGCGUCUGAUACUGGAUGGCUUGAGAUUGGGAGAGGGAUGCGGAAUCCCAGGUGUAGCGGUGAAAUGCGUAGAUAUCUGGAGGAACACCGGUGGCGAAGGCGGCAUCCUGGACCAACACUGACGCUGAGGAGCGAAAGCCAGGGGAGCAAACGGG
rnacentral:rRNA from 1 species